rnacentral:rRNA from 1 species
CCUACGGGUGGCAGCAGUGGGGAAUAUUGGUCAAUGGGCUUACGCCUGAACCAGCCACGUCGCGUGAGGGAAGACUGCCCUAUGGGUUGUAAACCUCUUUUGUCAGGGAGCAACGCCGGCUACGUGUAGCCGGACUGAGUGUACCUGCAGAAAAAGCAUCGGCAAACUCCGUGCCAGCAGCCGCGGUAAUACGGAGGAUGCGAGCGUUAUCCGGAUUUAGUGGGUUUACAGGGUGCGUAGGCGGAAUGCCAAGCCAGCGGUAAAAUCGCGGGGCUCAACCUCGCUCCGCCGUUGAAACUGGCGUUCUUGAGUGGGCGAGAGGGAUGCGGAAUGCGUGGUGUAGCGGUGAAAUGCAUAGAUAUCACGCAGAACUCCGAUUGCGAAGGCAGCAUACCGGCGCCCAACUGACGCUGAAGAGCGAAAGUGUGGGUAGCGAACAGGAUUAGAUACCCGAGUAGUC